rnacentral:lncRNA from 1 species
UCCUCUUUCUUCUUCAGUUCGUUACUCCAACCUUAUGCUCUGUUUGCUGUAGAGCAGCCACCAUCACAGACAAUUCUUUGGCGAAGCCUUCAUUGUCGUCGCUGCUCUUCAUUCUUUUCUUUUAGUAUUUUCAGUGUUUUUUACAACCAUUAAAAAACAAUAAAAAACUAUAAGUAAAUAAAUAUAUACAACCAAAUCACUUCAGCUCUUAAGUUACUCAAAUAAUAACACAUCCAAAAUCAACAUAAUGGAGUUCUAUAGUACUAAUCUCUAAUCGAAUAAUACCAAUAGAUCGAAAUUUUUAAAUUUACCUGCUAAAAAGACUUCAUUAUCAAUUUACUUUUUCUAUAAAGAGAACCAUGAAUUUUCAAAGAACAAACUUCACAAUUUUAUUUUAUUUUUGAAAAAACAGGG